rnacentral:rRNA from 1 species
UACGGGGGGGGGCAAGCGUUGUUCGGAAUUACUGGGCGUAAAGGGCUCGUAGGCGGCCAACUAAGUCGGACGUGAAAUCCCCAGGCUUAACCUGGGAACUGCAUCCGAUACUGGAUGGCUUGAAUCCGGGAGAGGGAUGCAGAAUUCCAGGUGUAGCGGUGAAAUGCGUAGAUAUCUGGAGGAACACCGGUGGCGAAGGCGACAUCCUGGAUCGGUACUGACGCUGAGGUGCGAAAGCGUGGGGAGCAAACAGGG